rnacentral:rRNA from 1 species
CAUGCAAGUCGAGGGGCAGCACGGGAGUAGCAAUACAACUGGUGGCGACCGGCGCACGGGUGAGUAACGCGUAUGCAACCUACCUAUCAGAGGGGAAUAACCCGGCGAAAGUCGGACUAAUACCGCAUAAAACAGGGGCACCGCAUGGUGAUAUUAGUUAAAGAAAUUCGCUGAUAGAUGGGCAUGCGUUCCAUUAGGUAGUUGGUGAGGUAACGGCUCACCAAGCCGACGAUGGAUAGGGGAACUGAGAGGUUGGUCCCCCACACUGGUACUGAGACACGGACCAGACUCCUACGGGAGGCAGCAGUGAGGAAUAUUGGUCAAUGGGCGGGAGCCUGAACCAGCCAAGUCGCGUGAAGGAAGAAGGAUCUAUGGUUCGUAAACUUCUUUUGCAGGGGAAUAAAGUGCAGGACGUGUCCUGUUUUGUAUGUACCCUGAGAAUAAGGAUCGGCUAACUCCGUGCCAGCAGCCGCGGUAAUACGGAGGAUCCGAGCGUUAUCCGGAUUUAUUGGGUUUAAAGGGUGCGUAGGUGGUUUGAUAAGUCAGCGGUGAAAGUUUGCAGCUUAACUGUAAAAAUGCCGUUGAAACUGUCGGACUUGAGUGUAAAUGAGGUAGGCGGAAUGUGUGGUGUAGCGGUGAAAUGCAUAGAUAUC